rnacentral:rRNA from 1 species
GACGAACGCUGGCGGCGUGCCUAACACAUGCAAGUCGAGCGGAGUCGAUCGACGGAAGCCUUCGGGCGGAAGAUGGUUGACUUAGCGGCGGAUGGGUGAGUAACGCGUGGGCAACCUGCCUCGAAGACCGGGAUAACAGCCCGAAAGGGCUGCUAAUACCGGAUGUGGUCAAGGAUCCGCAUGGGAUUUUUGAUUAAAGGGGAAACCCGUUUCGAGAUGGGCCCGCGUCCUAUCAGCUAGUUGGUGAGGUAAAAGCUCACCAAGGCGACGACGGGUAGCCGGCCUGAGAGGGUGACCGGCCACACUGGAACUGAGACACGGUCCAGACUCCUACGGGGGCAGCAGUGGGGAAUCUUCCACAAUGGGCGAAAGCCUGAUGGAGCGACGCCGCGUGAGCGAAGAAGGCCUUCGGUUGUAAAGCUCUGUCUGGAGGGACGAGGAAGUGACGGUACCUCCGGAGGAGACCACGGCUAACGUACGUGCCAGCAGCCGCGGUAAAUAGCGUACU